CCCCUGCACCGUGAAGACAUUCCCUCGCUCCCUGAGCUGAGCAGCGGGCAGAGACAAAGGGCACAAGCUCAGGAAGUGUAGGCUCGGCCAACUGCCUUAGUAAAUUACCUUUCAUGGUGUGUAAAAAAUUUGGUGUUCGAGGGGAGAGACGAAAGCAGAUUGGCCGAGGUGCAGAGAGACAUCUGAAUCUUGUCCUCAGUUCUUAGGAGACGCUUCCAGGGCAUACUUCCCACUCUCUGCUACAAGAUGACGGAGAUGACAAGAUGACGUUGUGUCUACUCGCUUCACAGGAGAGAUCCAAGAAGUUUAGAGAACCUCAAGCAGGACCAACACAAAGAAAACUACCUGCCACAUCAAAGUCACAUCACUGAAAACUCAAGAUAAAGAGAGAAAUCAUGAAUACAGAUGUGAAAAAAAUGACCUACAUAAGCCAGCUGCUGUGUCGUGAGGACACUGAAAAGGACACUGAAGCAGUUCCUCAGAGAGGCCUGCGUGGUAAGUCAACAGCCGUGUGAGUGAGACUUUUUGGAAGCAGCUCUCCCAUCCAGUCGAGCCUUCAGAUGACUGCCGCCCUGGCCAACAAACAGACCUUGUGGGAGAACGUGAGCCAGAACCACCCCAUAGACCAGAUUCCCAACCCUUGGAAACUAUGUGAGAUCAUAUUUGUUGUUUCAAACUGCUACAUUCUGGGGUAAAUUUUUGCACAGCCAGAUAACUAAAUACAAGGGAAAGAAGGGAGAAAACAUGAAGACUGUGUAAGGACAGGACUAUAUGCUUUUAGCUUAAUUUCAGAUUCCCUUCCUCCCCCAAACCCCCUCCCCCACCCCCGUAACAUCUUUGCCUGUGCUUAGGGCAGAGGCUGAAGGGAAAAAGAAGUAACAGUGAUCUGAUACGGGGAGGCUUGGGGAAUGUGUCUCAUAACACAACCGCUAGCCCCACCUGUUGGAAAUAUGAACCAGGGUCCUCACAUUUAAAGCUGGGGGCGGGGUCAUUUAUUUAUUCAACAAAUGUGUCCUGAGUACAUGGUACCUGGCACUGUGCUAUCUACUGGAGACACGGGAAGGAGGAAUAUAGAUACAGGGCCUGCCUUCGUGGCAUUUACAGACUAGCAUGUGAAAAUUCCAGUUUCCUCCUGUGUCUAGUCCCAAAUGUACAAUGACCCAAAGAUGAGAUAAUGUUACAGAUUUCAGGAUGGAAGUCUCAGCUGCUAGGGCUGCUUGGUUCAAAUAGGGCUCCAUAGCCAUAGAAAGGCAAGCAUGCUUUAUUUUCUAGGUCAGAAGUCAAUCACAGUGUCUUUUUAGAGACAGAGACACUUCAAGGACUUAGUAGGAGAAAACUCACAGAAAAAGCCAGCAUCCAGCCUGCUGGUUACCUCUCUUCCCACCACAGCACCCAAAGCACACAGAGCCCCACCCAUUCACCUCCGGGAUCUGAGACACUCUCCCCAGCCCUGCUCAGGUCUACACACCUACCAUUGUGUAUUUCAGUUCAAGGUGUUAGUAAGGAGUAAAGAUGAAGCUGAACCUGAACACUGGCAGGGAAUCCAGCCAGCACAUGACUGCCCAUUCCAGCACAGUACACCAAGGCUGUUCCUUCUGCCUGUCAGUCCCAGAUGGAGCAUCAAGACAAGGCUUUAGUCUUGGCUAACAAAUCCUGAUCUGCCCCUCAAAACAACCACUUCGGUUCUCACUUUCUCUUACUGGAUCUGACCUCCCUGGUUCCAAGUUCAGGCUCCAUCACCCUGUUUCCUUCACUCCCUCCCUCCAACUACUUCCCAGCUUCUUCUUCCAAGUCCACCCCUCCCUACCCGCACCCCCCCCUCUUCUGGACCUUGGCUUCCUAGCACUGCAUGUGUUAACUCUGUUCAUGAGUGGGUUUGCAGUAUCUCUAGUUAUGGUGGGUGGUAAUUCCCCACCAGGGAGCCACAUGCCCCAGAGGAAGAAGGGCCACCAGGAUUCCAGAAAAAAUCUCAAGAUUUCCUGAGAUCCCAGGAGGUGAGCUGACUGGAAUGGAAGGUAGACUUACCUGUGAACACUGACCUCAUCACCCAUGCCAGGACCUUUCACAUCCGUGUCUGGUUUAAGACCAGUUAGCAUGGUUGUAAAGUUUACGGACUGCAAACAACUACCUCACUGAUGUUUUGUAUGAUAACAACAGAGGAGGAGAACCCUUAUUGUGCCAAGAGGAGUUUCUCUUUAUUUCUUAGUAGUGACAGCCACUGAGAGAUACAGGGAGGGAAUUCUCUGGUACAUCUGUUACUUCCCCAAAAUCUUAAGCAUUCUGGAGACAGCUCAUCCCAUUCCCCCUGCUUGUGUUCCCUCUCUCACUGUGUCUCUAUCAAAUAAAUAAAAUCUUUUCCCAAAAAAAUGAUUUGUGAAGACCAUUGAUUCCUGACAGUUCAGAUUUUAUGAAAGGGAGUCAACAGAUACUGUGCUUGGGUAAGUUCAGGAUAAGAGGAUAAGAGCCAAACUCCUAAGUAAAUUAGAAACUGGUGAAAAUGUAAGGCUCCCUAACCUCCAUUUGUGAAGUAGGCAGAAACCAAGCCCCAGGAUUUUGGAAUAAUGCUGUCCUCCUGUCCAAGCCAUGGGGCUUCCUUACAAGCAAAAGACUCCUCCACAGUGAAAAUCCUGCCUUAUCAACCUUACUCGGACAAGUCAAGAAGCAAGACCCAGAAAAUGGGAGC